UACAGAGGUCUCAAGCGUUGUUCGGAUUCAUUGGGCGUAAAGGGUGCGUAGGCGGCGCGGUAAGUCGGGUGUGAAAUCUCGGAGCUUAACUCCGAAACUGCAUUCGAUACUGCCGUGCUUGAGGACUGGAGAGGAGACUGGAAUUUACGGUGUAGCGGUGAAAUGCGUAGAUAUCGUAAGGAAGACCAGUGGCGAAGGCGGGUCUCUGGGACGGUACUGACGCUAAGGCGCGAAAGCGUGGGGAGCGAACAGG
rnacentral:rRNA from 1 species